rnacentral:rRNA from 1 species
UACGUAGGGGGGCGAGCGUUGUCCGGAAUCAUUGGGCGUAAAGAGCGUGUAGGCGGCCAGGUAGGUCUGGUGUGAAAACUCGAGGCUUAACCUCGAGAUGUCAUCGGAAACCAUCUGGCUAGAGUCCGGAAGAGGAGAGUGGAAUUCCUGGUGUAGCGGUGAAAUGCGCAGAUAUCAGGAAGAACACCAAUGGCGAAAGCAGCUCUCUGGGCCGGUACUGACGCUGAGGAGCGAAAGCAUGGGGAGCGAACAGG